rnacentral:lncRNA from 1 species
UGGGAACCCAUGUGCCCAUCCCUGUUCUAAGCCCCAAGGAGUCAGCCAUGACUAAGACCUAGGAGUCUCUUUCUCGUGGAGUUUGCAUUCCAAACAGGGGAAGGCUGACCAACAGACCGCUAAGAAUGGCAGCAGAAUGCUCCGUCACUAUAUGCAGAAACAAGACAACUUGAAGCUAAAUGGAAGCCCUGCAGAGUCAACAGGUCCAGAUUCACAGUGCACGCCCUGAGCUACAGCCCCUCCAAAAGGCAUCUUCCCCCAGAGCCUCAAUGCCAAGCAAGGAGCCGUCAAGAGUCUGCCUUGGUUGUUUUGUUCUUUUUACAAACCGUACAGAUAUACAAUUGAUAACUCAGGAUUUCUAGUCAAUAACCAGAUAGUUAACACCACCUUAUUAAAAAAAAAAAAGCCAGAAACAUCUUUAAAUGCCUUGUCACUCCAAUAGCAAAGCGCACAGAAUGAGAACACAAGAGUGCCUUUUCAUUUUAAAAAUGUUUGGAAAUAUGUACAACUUUGAUAGCAUUUCAGAGUGCACCAGACACCACUGCCGCUUCAUGUAUACCACUGACAAUUUCUAGAGCACUUUGAGAGGCUACAAUA